rnacentral:lncRNA from 1 species
AAAAACAUAGUGACCAUCGUUUAUAAAAGUGCAAAAAAAGAUAAUACUUGACUACGAGGCAUGAAAUUGUGCACAGAUAUUACACAAGGAAUCGAUCGCGAUAUGACGUGCUUUAAUGACCUUUUAAUCACCUUCGAAUGUUUCUAAUUAACACUUUAUUUUAAAGUGAAGUGAAAUAUGAUUCAAUUUAAGACAGAUAUGUCUUUUGUUUGGCGUUUUAUUGCUGUAAAUAAAAAGGAUAAGAAGAUCAAAUGUUAAAGGUUUGGAUGGG